rnacentral:rRNA from 1 species
CCUACGGGUGGCUGCAGUGGGGAAUAUUGCACAAUGGGGGAAACCCUGAUGCAGCAACGCCGCGUGAAGGAAGACGGUCUUCGGAUUGUAAACUUCUGUUCUUAGUGAAGAAGAAUGACGGUAGCUAAGGAGCAAGCCACGGCUAACUACGUGCAAGCAGCCGCGGUAAUACGUAGGUGGCAAGCGUUGUCCGGAAUUACUGGGUGUAAAGGGAGCGCAGGCGGGAGGCCAAGUCAGCUGUGAAAACUACGGGGUUAACUUGUUGACUGCAGUUGAUACUAGUUUUCUUGAGUGAAGUAGAGGUUAGCGGAAUUCCGAGUGUAGCGGUGAAAUGCGUAGAUAUUCGGAGGAACACCGGAGGCGAAGGCGGCCAACUGGGCUUUAACUGACGCUGAGGGUCGAAAGUGUGGGGAGCAAACAGGAUUAGAUACCCUUGUAGUC